rnacentral:rRNA from 1 species
ACGCUGGCGGCAGGCUUAACACAUGCAAGUCGAACGGUAACAGGAAUUAGCUUGCUAAUUUGCUGACGAGUGGCGGACGGGUGAGUAAUGCUUGGGAAUCUGGCUUAUGGAGGGGGAUAACUACGGGAAACUGUAGCUAAUACCGCGUAAAAUCUUCGGAUUAAAGGGUGGGACUUUCGAGCCACCUGCCAUAAGAUGAGCCCAAGUGGGAUUAGGUAGUUGGUUAGGUAAAGGCUGACCAAGCCGACGAUCUCUAGCUGGUCUGAGAGGAUGACCAUCCACACUGGAACUGAGACACGGUCCAGACUCCUACGGGAGGCAGCAGUGGGGAAUAUUGCACAAUGGGGGGAACCCUGAUGCAGCCAUGCCGCGUGAAUGAAGAAGGCCUUCGGGUUGUAAAGUUCUUUCGGUGACGAGGAAGGUUGAUAGGUUAAUAGCCUAUCAAAUUGACGUUAAUCACAGAAGAAGCACCGGCUAACUCCGUGCCAGCAGCCGCGGUAAUACGGGGGGUGCGAGCGUUAAUCGGAAUAACUGGGCGUAAAGGGCACGCAGGCGGUGACUUAAGUGAGAUGUGAAAGCCCCGAGCUUAACUUGGGAAUUGCAUUUCAUACUGGGUCGCUAGAGUACUUUAGGGAGGGGUAGAAUUCCACGUGUAGCGGUGAAAUGCGUAGAGAUGUGGAGGAAUACCGAAGGCGAAGGCAGCCCCUUGGGAAUGUACUGACGCUCAUGUGCGAAAGCGUGGGGAGCAAACAGGAUUAGAUACCCUGGUAGUCCACGCUGUAAACGAUGUCGAUUUGGGGAUUGGGCUUUGAGCUUGGUGCCCGUAGCUAACGUGAUAAAUCGACCGCCUGGGGAGUACGGCCGCAAGGUUAAAACUCAAAUGAAUUGACGGGGGCCCGCACAAGCGGUGGAGCAUGU